ACACGACUACAUUAGAUACCCGCGUAGUCCUAGCCGUAAACGAUACUCGCUAGGUGUCGGCCACGGUGCGACCGUUGUCGGUGCCGUAGGGAAGCCGUGAAGCGAGCCACCUGGGAAGUACGGCCGCAAGGCUGAAACUUAAAGGAAUUGGCGGGGGAGCACAACAACGGGUGGAGCUCGCGGUUUAAUUGGAUUCAACGCCGGAAAUCUUACCGGGACCGACAGCAACAUGAAGGCCAAGCUGAAGACUUUGCCGGAUUAGCUG
rnacentral:rRNA from 1 species